GACGAACCGUGCGAACGUUGUUCGGAAUCACUGGGCUUAAAGGGCGCGUAGGCGGGUUCUCAAGUCUGGAGUGAAAGCCCGCGGCUCAACCGCGGAAGCGCUUCGGAUACUGGGGGCCUCGAGGGGGGUAGGGGCGUGCGGAACUUCCGGUGGAGCGGUGAAAUGCGUAGAUAUCGGGAAGAACACCUAUGGCGAAGGCAGCUCUCUGGGACGGUACUGACGCUGAGACGCGAAAGCGUGGGGAGCAAACAGG
rnacentral:rRNA from 1 species